rnacentral:rRNA from 1 species
GGAGGANCACCGGUGGCGAAAGCGGCUCUNUGGUCUGUAACUGACGCUGAGGCUCGAAAGCGUGGGGAGCGAACAGGAUUAGAUACCCUGGUAGUCCACGCCGUAAAUGAUGAGUGCUAGGUGUUAGGCCCUUUCCGGGACUUAGUGCCGCAGCUAACGCAUUAAGCACUCCGCCUGGGGAGUACGACCGCAAGGUUGAAACUCAAAGGAAUCGACGGGGGCCCGCACAAGCGGUGGAGCAUGUGGUUUAAUUCGAAGCAACACGAAGAACCUUACCAGGUCUUGACAUCCCGAUGCCCGCUCUAGAGAUAGAGUUUUACUUCGGUACAUCGGUGACAGGUGGUGCAUGGUUGUCGUCAGCUCGUGUCGUGAGAUGUUGNNNNANNNNNNNNNNNCGAGCGCAACCCUUAUUGUUAGUUGCCAUCAUUCAGUUGGGCACUCUAGCGAGACUGCCGGUAAUAAANNGGAGGAAGGUGGGGAUGACGUCAAAUCAUCAUGCCCCUUAUGACCUGGGCUACACACGUGCUACAAUGGCUGGUACAACGAGUCGCAAGUCGGUGACGGCAAGCUAAUCUCUUAAAGCCAGUCUCAGUUCGGAUUGUAGGCUGCAACUCGCCUACAUGAAGUCGGAAUCGCUAGUAAUCGCGGAUCAGCACGCCGCGGUGAAUACGUUCCCGGGC